AGCAGAGUGGUGCAGUGGAAAGCAUACUGGGCUCAUAACCCAGAGGCUGAUGGAUCAAAACCAGCCUCUGUUA